rnacentral:rRNA from 1 species
GACGAACGCUGGCGGCGUGCUUAACACAUGCAAGUCAAGGGGGCCCGACAAGGGCAACCGGCGAACGGGUGCGUAACACGUGAGCGACCUACCUCUUUGCGGGGGAUAGCCGGCCCAACGGCCGGGUAAUACCGCAUACGCUCUUUGGGGGGCAUACCCUGGAGAGGAAACUUCCGAGGCAGAGAGAGGGGCUCGCGGCCUAUCAGCUAGUUGGUGGGGUAACGGCCCACCAAGGCAUCGACGGGUAGCUGGCUGAGAGGAUGGCCAGCCACAUUGGGACUGAGAGACGGCCCAGACUCCUACGGGAGGCAGCAGUGGGAAUCUUGCGCAAUGGCCGAAAGGCUGACGCAGCGACGCCGCGUGGGGGA